rnacentral:misc_RNA from 1 species
GAUGAAGAACGUAGCGAAAUGCGAUAAGUAAUGUGAAUUGCAGAAUUCAGUGAAUCAUCGAAUCUUUGAACGCACCUUGCGCCCGCCAGCAUUCUGGCGGGCAUGCCUGUUCGAGCGUCAUUUCAACCCUCGAGCCCGACUUCCUUGCGGAGGACGGCUCGGCGUUGGGGGACGGCACACUCCCCCCGGCUCGCCGGGGACGCCGCCCCCGAAAUUCAGUGGCGGCCCUCGGAGGCGACCUCUGCGUAGUAACUCAACCUCGCAAAGGGAAGCUCCGAGCGGCCACGCCGUGAAACCCCAACUAUAUCAAGGUUGACCUCGAAUCAGGUAGGACUACCCGCUGAACUUAAGCAUAUCAAUAAGCGGAGGA